rnacentral:rRNA from 1 species
GGGCGUCGAGCGGCGGACGGGUGAGUAAUGCCUAGGAAAUUGCCUUGAUGUGGGGGAUAACCAUUGGAAACGAUGGCUAAUACCGCAUAAUGCCUACGGGCCAAAGAGGGGGAUCUUCGGACCUCUCGCGUCAAGAUAUGCCUAGGUGGGAUUAGCUAGUUGGUGAGGUAAUGGCUCACCAAGGCGACGAUCCCUAGCUGGUCUGAGAGGAUGAUCAGCCACACUGGAACUGAGACACGGUCCAGACUCCUACGGGAGGCAGCAGUGGGGAAUAUUGCACAAUGGGCGAAAGCCUGAUGCAGCCAUGCCGCGUGUAUGAAGAAGGCCUUCGGGUUGUAAAGUACUUUCAGUUGUGAGGAAGGGGGUAACGUUAAUAGCGGUAUAUCUUGACGUUAGCAACAGAAGAAGCACCGGCUAACUCCGUGCCAGCAGCCGCGGUAAUACGGAGGGUGCGAGCGUUAAUCGGAAUUACUGGGCGUAAAGCGCAUGCAGGUGGUUCAUUAAGUCAGAUGUGAAAGCCCGGGGCUCAACCUCGGAACUGCAUUUGAAACUGGUGAACUAGAGUGCUGUAGAGGGGGGUAGAAUUUCAGGUGUAGCGGUGAAAUGCGUAGAGAUCUGAAGGAAUACCAGUGGCGAAGGCGGCCCCCUGGACAGACACUGACACUCAGAUGCGAAAGCGUGUGGAGCAAACAGGAUUAGAUACCCUGGUAGUCCACGCCGUAAACGAUGUCUACUUGGAGGUUGUGGCCUUGAGCCGUGGCUUUCGGAGCUAACGCGUUAAGUAGACCGCCUGGGGAGUACGGUCGCAAGAUUAAUACUCAAAUAAAUUGACGGGGGCCCGCACAAGCGGUGGAGCAUGUGGUUUAAUUCGAUGCAACGCGAAGAACCUUACCUACUCUUGACAUCCAGAGAAGUCAGCAGAGACGCAGGUGUGCCUUCGGG